rnacentral:rRNA from 1 species
AGUCAUAUGCUUGUCUCAAAGAUUAAGCCAUGCAUGUGUAAGUUCACGCUGAUUAACAGCAAAACUGCGGACGGCUCAUUACAACAGUACUAAUCUACUUGGAUGUUCAACUAGUAAAAGGAUAACUGCCGCAAUUCGGGAGCUAAUACUUGCUAAAAGCCUCGCAAGAGGUGUUUUUCCUUUCCUUAAAUCGAUCGCCUUCUGGCGUCUUCUGAGGAAUCGAGGGAACUUAACGGACCGUAUGCUUCGGCGACGGUCGUCCAUUCGAAGUACUGACUUAUCAAAUUUCGAUGGUUCGGUAUUGGCGAACCAUGUUUGUAACGAGUAACGGGGAAUCAGGGUUCGAUUCCGGAGAGGCAGCCUGAGAAACGGCUGGCACAUCUAAGGAAGGCAGCAGGCGCGUAAAUUACCCAUUGCAGACUCUGCGAGGUAGUGACAAGAAAUAACGAGGUGUUGCCCUUAUCUGGGUGGCACUGUCGGAAUGAGAGCAGUUUAAAAGGCUCAUCGAGUAUCAAUUGAAGGGAAAGUCUGGUGCCAGCAGCCGCGGUAAUUCCAGCUUCAAUAGCGUAUACUUAAGUUGUUGUGGUUGAAGAGCUCGUAGUCGUAACUCUGGAAGGCUCUUUGUGACGGGUGUCGCUCGACGGUGCUCGUCUAAGGAAGACGCCGACCUCGAUUUGAUGUUUGGUGGCCGGUGUUAUUAACUUGGCGUCGGUCAACUGCAUCGAUUUUACCUUGAAUAAAUCGGAGUGCUCAAAGCAGGCUCUAACGCUUGAACGAUUGUGCAUGGGAUAAUGGAACAGGGCGUCUCGGCCGUUUCAUUGGUUUAAGUUGAGACGUAAUGAUAGAUAGGAACGGACGGCGUGAUUCGUACGAGAGGGUGAAAGGUGAAAUUUUUAGAUCCUUCUCAGACGGACGGAUGCGAAGGCGUUUCACGAGAACGUUUUCAUUGAUCAAGAGCGAAAGAAGCAGGUUCGAAAACGAUUAGAUACCGUUGUAGUUGCUUCCGUAAACGAUUUAGACUUGCGAUUGGAUAAGACGCCUUUUAGCUUAUCCAGCAGCUUCCGGGAAACCAAAGUUUUUGUAGCCCAGGGGAAGUAUGGUUGCAAAGCUGAAACUUAAAGAAAUUGACGGAAGGGCACCACCAGGUGUGGAGCCUGCGGCUUAAUUUGACUCAACACGGGACAACUUGCCCGGCCCGGACACAGGAAUGAUUGACAGAUUGAGAGCUCUUUCUUGAUUCUGUGGGUGGUGGUGCAUGGCCGUUCUUAGUCGGUGGAGUGAUUUGUCUGGUUAAUUCCGAUAACGGACGAGACUCUGGCGUGCUAACUAGUAUCGCUUGCUAGGCUUUUGUCGGCAGGUGGGUACUUCUUAGACGGAUUGGCGCUUUUUUGAACGCGCAUGAAAUAGAGCUAUAACAGGUCUGUGAUGCCCUUAGAUGUUCGGGACCGCACGCGCGCUACAAUGAAUUGAUCAACAGGAUUUAGCUGAGGCGAAAGCUUAAGAUUUCGGUCUUAUUUCGGCGAAUCGAACAACUCAGUUCAUGCUUGGGAUAGUUGCUUGUAAUUCUUCAACUUGAACGAGGAAUACCUAGUAAUGACAAGUCAUCAGCUUGUCGUGAUUACGUCCCUGCCCUUUGUACACACCGCCCGUCGCUAGUACCGACUAGUUGGUUUAGUGAAUCACUUGGAUCUAUAGCUAGCUCGCGGAGCAAUCCGCUCUUGCCGUGGAGAAGACUGGUAAACUUGAUCAACCGGAGGAACUAAAAGUCGUAACAAGGUCUCCGU